rnacentral:misc_RNA from 1 species
UUGUGGCAAAAGAUGUUUAUGGUUGAAGUUUAUGCCUUGUUCAUCCAAAAUGAAUGCCAUCCUCUCAAGAAGAUAAUAGUAAAGGUAAGCCAAGAUUUUUUUUUUCUUUUUUUAAUCAGUGAUUGGUUUUCUUGCUGUGUUCUGGCCUUGUAAAGAUGAGUCUAAUGGAUCCAAUUCCUGCAAACUCUAGCGCAUAACAUAUCAAAUGAAAAAAUCUGUACUGCUUCACCACUCCAGGCAGCCAUAUGACACUUUACCCG